GGGAAAGAGUUGGCGCAAAUGGGCGCCGGUGUAUCGUUGCAAGUAAUUGAUACGAAAGGUAUUUUCUCUUAUGCCUAUUUUGAUAGAUCGGACUUUUAAUCCGUUGGUCGCGAGUUCGAAUCUCGCAGGACCCACCA
rnacentral:tRNA from 1 species